rnacentral:rRNA from 1 species
UACGUAGGGUGCGAGCGUUUGUCCGGAAUUAUUGGGCGUAAAGGGCUCGUAGGCGGUUUGUCGCGUCGGGAGUGAAAUCAUCUGGCUUAACUGGGUGCUUGCUUUCGAUACGGGCAGACUAGAGGUAUGCAGGGGAGAACGGAAUUCCUGGUGUAGCGGUGAAAUGCGCAGAUAUCGGGAGGAACACCAACGGCGAAGGCAGCACUCUGGGCUGGAACUGACGCUGAGGAGCGAAAGCGUGGGUAGCAAACAGG